CUGUGUUUUCUUUCUUUGUUCUGCUUAGCUGAAAAAAAAAUCGAGGAAACAGAAGAAGAACAGAGAGGGAGAGAAGAACAGAGGGACAGAGAGAGAGAGAGAGAGCAAGAUCGAAGAAGAAGAGGACUAAGCUUCGGGGAGUUUUCUAACUUAGUUUCAGUUCUGUUCAUGCGACAAGAACAGCACAAAACUGAGGAGACCAGUGAGUCGGUGAGAGAGGAAGACAAUUAGGUUUGAGCUCUUGAAUUGAGCUGAGAAGACUGGAACUUUGCAUUCUGAAGGCUUGUCUUUCUUAAAUACUAUAUUGGAAGUUCGAUGAACUAGGAGCUAGACUAGCAAUACAUGAGAACUCUUUUGAUAUUGAGGAUCAACUCGGAGGACUAGGUAGGAACUUUAGUUAUUUGAUGAGUAUUCUUUUUGUAUAGAACGUAUUUGAAUAUGUUACAACCUAAAAGUUUUGUUUAGUUAGUUUAGUGAUGUGGUUAAAAAAAAUUAUUCUCUUUUGAGAUUUAUAUACAUAUUAGAGCUUGUUGGAUUGGUUAUGUAUAUUUUUUGGGAGUUUAUGGAAAGCAGGUUUAUUUGAAUAGUUACAUGAUAAUGGAUGUCGAGGAAACUUAGGAGAAGUUCUGCUGAAAUUUCGGGUCAUGACAUCCGGCUACCUUCUAAUUUGUACAUUUGGUUGUUUAAUCUUUUAUAUAUCUUCUUGGUGCUUUUUGAAUAGAAGUUAUUAUCCUUAUACCAAUAAAAAAAAGUUUUUGUUAA